rnacentral:rRNA from 1 species
GGUAGCGGAACGUUCUGCCCCACACCCCACUGGAAACACACGCAGAAUUGAGAAUGCUGACAUUAGUAACACUAUCUGAAAGACGAAUGCCCGGAGUCCAAGGGUUUGAACGCAGUGAAC